GAUGAACGCUGGCGGCGUGCCUAGUACAUGCAAGUCGAGCGAACAGACGAGGAGCUUGCUCCUCUGACGUUAGCGGCGGACGGGUGAGUAACACGUGGAUAACCUACCUAUAAGGCUGGGAUAACUUCGGGAAACCGGAGCUAAUACCGGAUAAUAUAUUGAACCGCAUGGUUCAAUAGUGAAAGACGGUUUUGCUGUCACUUAUAGAUGGAUCCGCGCCGCAUUAGCUAGUUGGUAAGGUAACGGCUUACCAAGGCAACGAUGCGUAGCCGACCUGAGAGGGUGAUCGGCCACACUGGAACUGAGACACGGUCCAGACUCCUACGGGAGGCAGCAGUAGGGAAUCUUCCGCAAUGAGCGAAAGCCUGACGGAGCAACGCCGCGUGAGUGAUGAAGGUCUUCGGAUCGUAAAACUCUGUUAUUAGGGAAGAACAAAUGUGUAAGUAACUAUGCACGUCUUGACGGUACCUAAUCAGAAAGCCACGGCUAACUACGUG
rnacentral:rRNA from 1 species